rnacentral:rRNA from 1 species
UACGUAGGGUGCAAGCGUUGUCCGGAAUUAUUGGGCGUAAAGAGCUCGUAGGCGGUUUGUUGCGUCGGCUGUGAAAACCUGAGGCUCAACCCCAGGCCUGCAGUCGAUACGAGCAGACUAGAGUGUUGCAGGGGAGACUGGAAUUCCUGGUGUAGCGGUGAAAUGCGCAGAUAUCAGGAGGAACACCGGUGGCGAAGGCGGUCUCUGGCG